UACGAAGGGGGCUAGCGUUGCUCGGAAUGACUGGGCGUAAAGGGCGCGUAGGCGGUUUGCACAGUCAGGCGUGAAAUUCCUGGGCUUAACCUGGGGGCUGCGCUUGAUACGUGUGGACUGGAGUGCGGAAGAGGGUCGUGGAAUUCCCAGUGUAGAGGUGAAAUUCGUAGAUAUCGGGAGGAACACCGGUGGCGAAGGCGGCGACCUGGGUAGAUACUGACGCUGAGGCGCGAAAGCCAGGGGAGCAAACGGG
rnacentral:rRNA from 1 species